rnacentral:rRNA from 1 species
AGAACAAGGAUAAGAGUAACUGCUUGUCCCUUGACGGUAUCUAACCAGAAAGCCACGGCUAACUACGUGCCAGCAGCCGCGGUAAUACGUAGGUGGCAAGCGUUGUCCGGAUUUAUUGGGCGUAAAGCGCGCGCAGGCGGUCUUUUAAGUCUGAUGUGAAAGCCCCCGGCUUAACCGGGGAGGGUCAUUGGAAACUGGAAGACUGGAGUGCAGAAGAGGAGAGUGGAAUUCCACGUGUAGCGGUGAAAUGCGUAGAUAUGUGGAGGAACACCAGUGGCGAAGGCGACUCUCUGGUCUGUAACUGACGCUGAGGCGCGAAAGCGUGGGGAGCAAACAGGAUUAGAUACCCUGGUAGUCCACGCCGUAAACGAUGAGUGCUA